rnacentral:rRNA from 1 species
AGCACGUAGGUGGGUUUGUAAGUCAGAUGUGAAAGCCUUCUGUUCAACGGAAGAAUUGCAUCUGAAACUGCGAGUCUUGAGUGUAGGAGGGGAGAAUGGAACUUCUGGUGGAGCGGUGAAAUGCGUAGAUAUCAGAAGGAACGCCGGCGGCGAAAGCGAUUCUCUGGCCUAUUACUGACACUCAGUGUGCGAAAGCUAGGGGAGCAAACGGGAUUAGAUACCCCGGUAGUCCUAGCCGUAAACGAUGGGCACUAAGUAGAGGGGUUUU